UUUGGGUAGUGGCUUAGACCCUGGAAGCUCUGGUUGCUUGGCAUCAUUGUUCAUAUGGGGUCUCGAGCCCCUUCAAGCUCUUCCAGUCCUUUCUCUGAUUCCUUCAAUGGGGGUCCCGUUCUCAGUUCAGUGGUUUGCUGCUGGCAUUCGACUAUGUAUUUGCUGUAUUCUGGCUGUGUCUCUCAGGAGAGAUCUACAUCCGGUUUCUGUCGGCCUGCGCUUCCUUGCUUCAUCCAUCUUGUCUAAUUGGGUGGCUGUAUAUGUAUGGGCCACAUGUGGGACAGGCUCUGAAUGGGUUUUCCUUUUGUGAACUCUUAAUUUAGCUAGUUUCCAGCAUCUGAACUUUGAUCAUGCUGCCUCUUUCACAUAGACUUUCCUUCUCUAACUAUUGUAUUUUUUGUUCUUCAUUCAGAGGAACUUUCAUAGCUUACAUAUGGAAAUAACCCCUCAUGAAAAAACAAUGUAUGUUUUUACUGUGUUUUGUUGUUUUCUACCUUAUUUAAGGGGGAACUUACCCCAUCUACUAAAAUUCCUUAUGGGUUAUUUAUGCCUCAGAACGCCAAGAUUUUUUCCUCUGAACAUUUUAGCUGUUGAUUGAAUAUUAAAAGUGCCUUUCUGCAGCUUUUCUUAUCCACUGAUAUAAUUUUUAGAUAUUUUGUGAGUUGAAAGAACUUUUAACCAUAACCAUUAUAAUGAUGAUGGCUGUUAAGUACAUACAAAUGAGUAAAAUCUGAACAUUUAAUUAGAUGUUGCAUGUAUUUUUCAUAAGGUAACAAGAAAAUCUU
rnacentral:lncRNA from 1 species